UAACCCCGAUCCGAACCCGAUAAAACCCGAACCGGUUCCGAACCGAACUUUCAUAUAAUCCGAAUAAGGCUGAUUUUGAUAAACCCGAAAAACUGAAACCCGAUUGAAUAAAACCAAAACCCGUUUGGGACCCCGAAUGUCCAGGCCUAAAGAUAACAAUACAAUAUAUACAUAAAUUAUCUGUGUUUAAAUUAUAUUUUCAGAUUUUGGAUAAUUCUUAGUAUUAUUAAUUUUAAUCAAUUAUCUAAUCAAAUAAAUUAAAAUUUCGUUUUUAUUUUUUAAUUUAUUGAUACAAUUUAUUCAUUAAGGAUAUAAACGAUAUUAAUCACUAUAACUUUUAACGUAAGAGGUCGAUUUUAAAAAUUUACUUUGGAGAUGAUAAUAUAGAUAGAUAGAUGUGUCGGGUAAGUGACUUUUCCUUUAGUAUAAAGGAUUUAUAAGCAACAGCCUGUUUGUUGGGGCCCACAAUAAUCCCAAUUAAACAGACGCGUCAAAACAGCGCAUUUAAGCCGUCCAUUACGAGGUCUAAAAAACACUCCUCUCUUUUAGAGAGAGGAUUUUCUCUCUACUUUCCUUGUUCCCAAAUUUAAUCUUUCACAAGGAGUAGAGAUAAGAGAGUUUUUCCAGAUGGGUUUUUGUUUCCGGUGACGCACCUUCUCCUUCGGUGGUCGGCCGGCUCUGUCUCCGGCGUCGCAUCGUUUCUCUCGAUGGUCGUCCGGCUUUGUCUCCGGCGUCGUUGCCUUCUUCUCCGGCGAUGGCGGCUGGCUUUCUUGGUUUGUAAAGGGUUGGGACGGCGGAUGAUAUCUCGAUUGUUCUCCGCCGGUGGGUGUUUCCAGGGCCGUACUGUCUUCUUCGACGGUGGUCGCCAGCUUUUGUAUCCAAAGAUGAUCGUGACUCCGUUCGAUUGGAUGAGAUUUCGACAAGGGUCGAUUUGAUUCUCUCCAUGGAGUUUUAACAAAGAACGCGUGAUGGGUGCUUUGGGAUCUUCUAGGAUGAGAUCUCGUUGUCUUGUUUGAAGCACUACGUGGAAAGGUGAUCUAGAAAUGGAGGAAGCUGUGGUGUGGCUUCUGGUCCAGUGCGUAGACGGUGAAACGCCGUUCAGAUUCGGCGGCGGCGGUUUCUCGAAGUGGUGAUGACGUGGCGGUGUCGAAAGACGCGUGUUUCUUCAUUGUGAGGGUUUCAACACACGUCUAUCCAGUUCAUAUUUCGACACGUGGGUACGGAUAGCGUUUAGUGGGCUUCUUUGUUAGCGGGCUUUGGGUUUUAGCCCAUGUAUCUUUAAAAGUCGCCUUAUGUGUUUGGGCUUCAUUGUUUUUUUGUAAUGGUGGGUUUGUUCUAUGGGCUUUGGCGUUAAUAAAACUAAUUAGAUGGAAAAAAAAAAAAAAGCCGUCCAUUACUAAACCGCCUCGCUUUAAAAAUGACCCGAAAGGCACGCAAUGAUCCACGAGGCUGCUUCGAUACCGUUGAUGCGUUAUCUAAUUAUUUAAUCAUGACCGUCCAUUAUUCUAACCUUUUAAUAUAAAUAGGAAACGGUGUUGAACCUAGGGUUAUCUCAACAGCCGCUUCCAUCCUUGCGCUUCUCAAAACUUUUUUUUUCAUCGCUUCCUUUAGAUCUCGCUUCUAUGGCGGCGAAUCUUUUAUUUAUAGCUUCUGUUUGUAAUAGCGAGUCCUCCGAUCUACACAACGGUGUUGAUUUUCCAUCGAUUUAAUCGCUUCUAUGUCUUUCAUCGGUAGAUCUGAUGCAGAUCUCAUGAAAUCUAUACUUCCUCUAAGGAUCUGCCGGUGGGAUCAUCGCGUGAGGGGUGUCUAUUAUGCAAAUCGGUUGCGUUGAAGCGCGUUGAGGCUGAAUCGAAUUCGUUUAUGGACGUGAAGCUGUGUUCUUGUGUGGGUUAAGUUAAAAUUAGGAUGUAGAAGAUGUUGAAUUGCAUCUUUUGUCAUCCGACCUUUGCCAUGUCAGGUGCGCUUGCAUGGCAGGUCAAAAACAGAUCUUAAUAAAACAAUAUGUUUUGUGGUUGGGAGGGGAGUUCGCACGGGUGUUUUUUUUUUAUCCCGGGUUCUCCUCUUCCUGUGUGCGUGUCUUGCUCUCUGCGAAAUUUCACACUAUUUAUUAUUAUGCACCGUAACUCAACAGAUAGCCAUGAAACACUUAUAUCUCAUUCGACCUGGAGCUGUAACACUUUGCGCCAUUCAUGCCCCACCCAACAAGCAUGCGCUCGUAAGUAUGUUAUUUUUGAUAAUUUAGUCACUCAGAAUUAUAUCCAAUCACACCCAUGCAUAUUAACAAUCAUACGUACAUUAAUCAUUACUUCCGUCAUGAAUUUUACAAAUUCGUUGCCCAAAUUUAUUGGGCCAACUAGUUACUUUUCAUUCUAUUAUUUGUUUCUCUUUUUGAGUGAAUUGACAAACCCUACUGAUCUAAAAGCUUUCUAUGCUGUAGACAGUAUUUUUUUAUUUAUAUUUCUAAGUUUAUAAGUAUCUGUUUGAUUUAUAUAGUUAGAGAACAUCACAAGAUUAUGUAUCUCGAAAUUUGAUGGCUGAAGGGUGAGAAUGGGAUAUCAUAUUAGCUUGUGGAGCAAUACAUUGGAAGCUAUAGCGUGGAGCAGUGUGAAUACAACAGCUCUUUGUAGACUCAUCCUAUAAAGCUUAUUGUAAAUGAAGGUAUUAAAACGCUGUGUGUACACAUUGAUUAAUUUCCUUAACUUAUAUCCAAGUGUAUCCAUUAUUACACUCCAUGUUUUCAUUUUGUUUUGAUGUGAAUAUAUUUUUGCCGAUAAUUCACUAAUAAAAUUGAUAUUAUUGUUUCUCAAAA